GACGAACGCUGGCGGCGUGCUUAACACAUGCAAGUCGAACGGAAAGGCCCGCUUGCGGGUACUCGAGUGGCGAACGGGUGAGUAACACGUGGGCAACCUGCCCCUAGCUCUGGGAUAACACUUGGAAACAGGUGCUAAUACCGGAUGAUGACUGUGCGAGGCAUCUCGUGUGGUUCAAAGUUUUUCGGCUAGGGAUGGGCCCGCGGCCUAUCAGCUUGUUGGUGGGGUAAUGGCCUACCAAGGCGACGACGGGUAGCCGGCCUGAGAGGGCGACCGGCCACACUGGGACUGAGACACGGCCCAGACUCCUACGGGAGGCAGCAGUGGGGAAUAUUGCGCAAUGGGCGAAAGCCUGACGCAGCGACGCCGCGUGAGGGAUGAAGGCCUUCGGGUUGUAAACCUCUUUCAGCAGGAACGAAUCAAGACGGUACCUGCAGAAGAAGCACCGGCUAACUACGUGCCAGCAGCCGCGGUAACAC
rnacentral:rRNA from 1 species